CAAGGAAUUUUCGUCAAUGGGCGCAAGCCUGAACGAGCAACGCCGCGUGGAGGAUGACGGCCUUCGGGUUGUAAACUCCUUUUUCGGGGGACGAUAAUGACGGUACCCCGGGAAUAAGGCUCGGCUAACUCUGUGCCAGCAGCCGCGGUAAUACAGAGGAGCCAAGCGUUGUCCGGAUUGACUGGGCGUAAAGCGCACGCAGGCGGACGCGCGCGUGGGGUGUGAAAUCUGGCCGCUUAACGGCCAGGCGCCAUCCCAUACGGCGCGUCUGGAGUGAUGCAGAGGUCGAUGGAAUUGCCGGUGUAGUGGUGAAAUGCGUAGAGAUCGGCAGGAACACCCAGGGGGAAACCAGUCGACUGGGCAUCUACUGACGCUGAGGUGCGAGAGCGUGGGGAGCGAACCGG
rnacentral:rRNA from 2 species